rnacentral:rRNA from 1 species
GAUCAUGGCUCAGGACGAACGCUGGCGGCGUGCUUCAUACAUGCAAGUCGAACGAGAAUCUUACUUCGGUAAGAGGAAAGUGGCGGACGGGUGAGUAAUAUGUAGAGAAUCUGCCCUUAAGCGGGGGACAACAGUUGGAAACGACUGCUAAUACCCCAUAUGAGCGUACCUGAAAUGGUAUUCUUGAAAACUCCGGUGCUUAAGGAUGAGUCUGCAUCUGAUUAGCUAGUUGGGGGUGUAAUGGACCACCAAGGCGACGAUCAGUAGCUGGUUUGGGAGGAUGAUCAGCCACAAUGGGACUGAGACACGGCCCAUACUCCUACGGGAGGCAGCAGUAGGGAAUUUUGCGCAAUGGGCGAAAGCCUGAACCGCAGCAACGCCGCGUGAACGAGAAGCCCUUCGGGGUGUAAAGUUCUGUCAGUAGGGACGAACAAUGACUGUACCUACAGAGGAAGCACCGGCUAACUCCGUGCCAGCAGCCGC